AAGAUUUCUAUUUAUUCUUUUAAACUGAUUUAUGAGUUUUGUUCAAGGGUGAAACUUGCAUACAUUCUUACACUGUAUUUUUAAAUUGAAUCCCCCUUGUCUCUCUGAAAACUACAUCUUUAUUUUAUUUGGAAGUAAAUUAUUUUUUGCUUUGAAUGUUGAAUCAGAUCUGAAAAUAUUGUAAAACUUGUACACCUUUGCUGCAUUAUAAAUGGGUUGAAUAUUGCUUUUGUAUGUUUCCCCACACCUCUACACAGUAACUGAAAUAUGGUAAAAGUAAUGAAUAAUAUAAUCUAUAUGGGGCUUUCUGAUUGAGAAUAUGCCUUGUUUUCCCCAGGAUGGCAACACGUCAUAUAUCAUUUGAUUCACACAUAAAACUAAUUUACAGAACAGCCUUCUUCCACCUGCGGAACACUACAAAAAUUAGAAACAUUCUGUCCUUAAAGGACGCUGAUAAACUAGUUUAUGCUUUGUUACAUCUAGACUAGAUUACUGUAACUCCAUAUUAUCAGGAUGUUCCAACAAGUCAGUUAAUUCAAAAUGCUGCAUGAACUAGAAAGAGGGACCAUAUCACACCAAUGUUAGCUUUGCUACACUGGCUUCACCAAACAGUUUAGAAUUAAAUUAGAAAUCCUCCUCCUCAUGCACAAAGCACUUAAUGAUCAGGCCCCUUCAUACUAUAAUAACUAGUUUUACCUUGUCAUCCUAACAGAUCACUUCGGUCCCAAAAUACAGCCCUACUUGUGGUUCCCAGAGUCCUUCAGUUACCAGGCUCCUCUCCUGUGGAACUAACACCCAGUGACAGUUUGUGGGGCAGACACUCUCUCUGUAUUUAAAGUUAGACUUAAAACUUCCUUUUUGAUAAAGCUUAUAGUUAGAGCUGGCCCAGGGAGGUAGGUAUUGUUUUUACGUGCACGUUAUUUGUAAUUGAAUCAAUCACUCAUGAUUGAUCCUCUCUUCUAUCACUCCAAAGUGUCUCCUCAAAACGUCAUGUUUGCAUUGGCUCACAUUAACACACGUGAGCCCACUUCAAACAUUGUGUGUCACAUGGUCUCGGUAUGAGAAGUGUAUAGAUCUGAGUGGUUUAUUGUCAUGUGACAUUCCUACGAUGAUCAAAAGGUCUUCAGAUGGAUUGUGUCUCGAUGCAAAUGGAUGGAUGUUUAAGGGGAAGAAAGAAAGAGGAGCCACUCAGGGAGUUGAACUGCUGAGCAGAACUCCCACACUUCAGCCCGCGUCGGUUCAGUGCCGUUACUUCGAAGAGAAGCCGCAUAAACGAGCCGCAAAACGAAAAAAGACACGGAAAAAGUGACGCUGAAUUCGAGAAACUGUACUGAAAACAAAACUACCGCCGCGUGACGUCAGACGCCGGAAACGCAGCAAGAAGAUACAAGAUGGAGGCUUUGACCUGGUCCAGAUUGAUGACUCCUCUACCAAUGGUGAAGAGCAUCGUCGGGAGUCGAGCAAGGGAGGAAGGUUGAGGUGCUCCAAGCUAAGAUCUACAGAUCACUGGUUAUGCUGCGGACUGUCUACUUCAUUAAGGUACAUGUGGGCGGAGUCUUCAGAGGGCUGCUCUGCCCUGAAAAUGAGGCUGAGCUGCACAAUGUAGUGACGGGAAUGAAAGACGACGACCCAAUAAGGUACACGUGAGAGGAGACGAUUUACCUUCUCGAGCAAGACUUCAGAGGGCUGCUCUCCCCUGAAAUCGUGGUUGAGCUGCACAAUAUAGUGACGGCAACGAAA